rnacentral:rRNA from 1 species
CAUAGCGACUAUCGUGGCAUAUCAAUAAGCGGAGGAAAAGAAACUAACAAGGAUUCCCUUAGUAACGGCGAGUGAAGCGGGAAGAGCUCAAAUUUGAAAUCUUCAAGGUUUUACCUUGACGAAUUGUAGUUUAAAGAAGUGUUUUCUGUUGGAGUUUUGGUAAAAGUUCUUUGGAAUAGGACAUCAUAGAGGGUGAGAAUCCCGUAUUUGACUAUUCUUUCUAGCUUUGUGAUACACUUUCAAAGAGUCGGAUUGUUUGGGAAUGCAGUCCAAAAUGGGUGGUAAAUUUCAUCUAAAGCUAAAUAUUGGCGAGAGACCGAUAGCGAACAAGUACCGUGAGGGAAAGAUGAAAAGAACUUUGAAAAGAGAGUUAAACAGUACGUGAAAUUGUCAAAAGGGAAGCGUUUGACACCAGUGUUGUUUUUCCGAAAAUCAAUUAAAAAUUGAUUCAUGCCAGGUUGUAUUGACCUUAUCAGCUUGCAAUUUGGUUUUGGGUCUCUUUUUGAUGCACUUUUCGGUUAACAAGUCAACAUCAAUUUCUUUGUUGUAAAAAGGUAAUGAGGAAGGUGGCUUUCAAUUUCGGUGAAGUGUUUAUAGCCUUUUAUCUCUGCAGUCGGAGAGAUUGAGGUCUGCAGCGUAGAUCCUUCGGGGUUAGAUACAUUUAUGCUAAGUUAUAGCUUUUCAUAGACAACUUGUUGACUAUGUUAGUCAUUGUAGAUUUACUCGUCAGAUGCUAUUUUACCUACGCUUAGGAUGUUGAUAGUCACAGCGUGUAC